rnacentral:rRNA from 1 species
CUUUAAUUGUCCAUCAUUCAGUUGGGCACUUUAAAGAGACUGCCGGUGUUAAACCGGAGGAAGUGGGGAUGACGUCAAGUCCUCAUGGCCUUUAUGCCCAGGGCUACACACGUGCUACAAUGGGUGGUACAAAGAGAUGCAAUCUCGCAAGAGCAAGCAAACCUCAAAAAGCCAUCCUCAGUUCGGAUUGGAGUCUGCAACUCGACUCCAUGAAGUCGGAAUCGCUAGUAAUCGCGGAUCAGCACGCCGCGGUGAAUACGUUCCCGGGCCUU